rnacentral:lncRNA from 1 species
AGCAGCUCAAGCUCCUCUCCAGGCUGGAGGUCCUCUUAGAAGAGCAGGUCCCAGCACAGGGGGAAGACCUUCCCCUGCCGUGUGCCCCCGCUCUGUCUCCAACACCCUGGCUGGAUAUAAACGCAAGGCCUUGGAGGAAGGGAAACCAACAGCAGCUCAGCAGCCUUCCAAUAAGAGAGUGAGGGGGCCGAGUGGAGACGGCGUGCCGGCUCCAGCAGCACACCCUGGGCCUGCUGCAGCGCGGAGCUCCAAGCAAAGAGGUGAGAAGGUGCUGUGGUACCCGCCGUGCUGAGGCGCUUCCCUGUGCGAGCACACUGAGUUUGCUUAGGGUUGGCUUUGCUUUUUCCUUCUCUGUGGAGGGGAAAAGAGUGGAAGGCUACAAAGUCCAAAGGCAGUGAGGUGCCAGAACAUGUAACCCUGUCUCUUCCCGUUAACUCCAUGGUGGUCUUCUGCACGCCUCCUGGAAAUGUCAUUCACUGGGAGGCUUCCUAGUCCCAUUUCCUCCGUCUUUUUGCUGCCUUCUGCUUGUACGGCAUGGAUGUUUCUGCC